rnacentral:antisense_RNA from 1 species
UCUAUGGUGGGCCGUGCGAGGCGGGCUUCGGCCCGGCCGGGUCCUACGAAGCCGGUAUUUCCACCCUCGCACGGUCUGCCUCCU